rnacentral:rRNA from 1 species
CACGUAGUUAGCCGGAGCUUCCUCCCAGGUUACCGUCAUUAUCUUCACCUAGGACAGAGGUUUACAAUCCGAAAGCCUUCUUCCCUCACGCGGCGUUGCUGCAUCAGGGUUUCCCCCAUUGUGCAAUAUCCCCCACUGCUGCCUCCCGUAGGAGUCUGGGCCGUGUCUCAGUCCCAAUGUGGCCGUUCAACCUCUCAGUCCGGCUACCGAUCGUCGCCUUGGUCGGGCCGUUACCCCUCCAACUAGCUAAUCGGACGCGAGUCCAUCUUUCUGCGGAUUGCUCCUUUGAUAUCGAUACCAUGCGAUUUCAAUUAUUUUAUGUCGGUAUUAGCUCCGGUUUCCCGGUGUUACUCCCCUACAAAAGGCAGGUUGCUCACGCGUUACUCACCCGUCCGCCACUAUCCAGCAUUCAAGCAAGCUCAAUGCUAAAUCGUUCGACUUGCAUGUGUAGCACGCCGCAGCCGUUCGUCCGUGACG